CUGUAUCUCACGUCAGGGUCCAUGUCCCUGUUGGGGGCCUCUUCCUUCUCAGCCCCCAGCACCCACCCUGAGUGCCAACCACCCCAAGUGUCUUGUGUUUGUGUAGCUGUAAUUCUCUAGGUCUGGGUGAUUGGGGGCUACUAUAGGUACGUCCCUAAAUGUUGUGUGUCUACACGUAUUGGGUUUCGUUCCAAGGGUGUGUAGUGUUUAGGAAACUGGGACUGCACAGUGUUUGUGUAGGUGUGUGGUGUG
rnacentral:lncRNA from 1 species